rnacentral:rRNA from 1 species
GAUACGGCGUCGAGCGGCGGACGGGUGAGUAAUGCCUAGGAAAUUGCCCUGGUGUGGGGGAUAACCAUUGGAAACGAUGGCUAAUACCGCAUAAUACCUACGGGUCAAAGAGGGGGACCUUCGGGCCUCUCGCGUCAGGAUAUGCCUAGGUGGGAUUAGCUAGUUGGUGAGGUAAUGGCUCACCAAGGCGACGAUCCCUAGCUGGUCUGAGAGGAUGAUCAGCCACACUGGAACUGAGACACGGUCCAGACUCCUACGGGAGGCAGCAGUGGGGAAUAUUGCACAAUGGGCGCAAGCCUGAUGCAGCCAUGCCGCGUGUGUGAAGAAGGCCUUCGGGUUGUAAAGCACUUUCAGUCGUGAGGAAGGUAGUGUAGUUAAUAGCUGCAUUAUUUGACGUUAGCGACAGAAGAAGCACCGGCUAACUCCGUGCCAGCAGCCGCGGUAAUACGGAGGGUGCGAGCGUUAAUCGGAAUUACUGGGCGUAAAGCGCAUGCAGGUGGUUUGUUAAGUCAGAUGUGAAAGCCCGGGGCUCAACCUCGGAAUAGCAUUUGAAACUGGCAGACUAGAGUACUGUAGAGGGGGGUAGAAUUUCAGGUGUAGCGGUGAAAUGCGUAGAGAUCUGAAGGAAUACCGGUGGCGAAGGCGGCCCCCUGGACAGAUACUGACACUCAGAUGCGAAAGCGUGGGGAGCAAACAGGAUUAGAUACCCUGGUAGUCCACGCCGUAAACGAUGUCUACUUGGAGGUUGUGGCCUUGAGCCGUGGCUUUCGGAGCUAACGCGUUAAGUAGACCGCCUGGGGAGUACGGUCGCAAGAUUAAAACUCAAAUGAAUUGACGGGGGCCCGCACAAGCGGUGGAGCAUGUGGUUUAAUUCGAUGCAACGCGAAGAACCUUACCUACUCUUGACAUCCAGAGAACUUUCCAGA